rnacentral:rRNA from 1 species
AUGUGUAUAAACAAGGAGCGAGUGUUAAGAUGCUACAAAUUGAUUCAGGACAAGAUAGCAAUGGGAACCACGGUCAUCAAAUCGGUUGGAUCAUCAAUGUUCUAUGUGCCGCAAAGCCCGAUAGGCGUGUUGGAUGCUGAUGUAUGUCUCAGCCAACAGAGUGAUGAUACUGUUGUUGGAUCUCCAGCAACAUGA